AAGGCGGAGUUUUUUCUCAGCUCGAAGAGCUUUACAUUGACAACUGCCCUAAGUUGACAGGGCGGCUGCCGGUCCAUCUUCCUUCUUUAGCCAAGCUUGAUAUUCGCAAAUGUCCGCAGCUGGUGGAUUCACUCCCGAGGGCUCCUUCUUUACUUGAAUUCCGAGUAUUACAUUGCAAAGAGUUUCUGUUGAGGGGGUUGCCAACCGGAUUGCAAAAGCUCAAUGUUGGUGGAUUUGGCCCACUGAAGUCCCUUCCCCGGGGACUGGUGGACUGCAACAGCAAUCUUCAGGAGUUAGCCAUCUCAAACUGUAACAUGUUUAGGCUCCCUAGACUGCCAAACCUUUCAUCCCUUGAAACGUUGCGGUUGGACGGCUGUGAUUCACUCAAGUCAUUUCCAUUAGAUUUAAUCCCAAAUCUUUUUUCUAUCAAAAUCUCCGGGUGUAAGAAUCUGGAAUCAUUUACAGCUUCAGAACAUCGUGGACGUGAUUUGGUGACCGUGCGUUUAUUCAUCAACAAUUGCCCAAAUUUUGCAUCUUUUCCAAGAGGAGGAGUUCGUGCCCCCGACCUCACAUUCUUCUGGGUCCAAAGUUGUCGGAGUCUGACGUCACUGCCGGAGAAGAUGGAUGUACUCAUGCCUGCUCUCACGUCUUUCUAUUUAAUUGAUUGCCCAGAAGUUGAAUCGUUGCCCACAGGGGGAUUUCCUUCAAAUCUGGAACUUAUCAACGUCCAGAGUUGUGAAAAACUCUUCGCCGGUCGGACGAGAUGGGGUUUGCAGAAUCUCCCGUCUCUUGUAAAUUUGUAUGUAGGUGGAAAAUCUGAAGAUGUGCGGUCUUUUCCAGAGCCGGGGUUGCUGCCUUCUUGUUUGACUUUUCUCGAUAUCUCUCAAUUUCAAAAUAUGAAAUAUUUGGAGAAGAAAGGGCUUCAACACCUCACGUCUCUUCAAGGGUUGACACUCCAUGACUGCCCCAAGCUCAAGCACGUGCCAUUGAAGGAUUUGCCUGCGUCGCUUUCCACCAUACGGAUCUACGCAUGCCCUUUGUUGAAGAAACGGUGGCUAAGCGGCCAUAAGGUUCCUGCCGUCGAUCACAUUGAGAUUGAUUGUGAAGAAUAUAUUGGAUGACCCAAAAGCCUCCUCUGUUCUGCUCAUCGAUCGCGCAUAAAUGUUGACAAGGGUGUCAUUUCACCAAAUCUUAUAAUGAACAGAAUUUAGAAGUUGGAAGAGCUUGGUGGCGUUUGCAAGAAGAAGAGGCAGCAAAUAUAUAGAAUGCAUGAUUCUGUGAGUUCAUGAAUACCAAAAGGAACGGUGGGGUUUUCAAUUGGAUCAGUAAAGUUAUUCUUUGAUGGAACAAAGUGCUUAUUAGUUCUUCCUGUAAUGCAUCAUUCCGGCCAAGAUAAUCAAAGACUAUGGGCCAUGUAAAGCUAGGGAUGCUCAGAUGCUCUGCGAAUCUAUAGAGUCACUUUUCAUUGUCAAUAUCUUGUGUCAUAUGCUCAGAAUUGAAAUUGGUGUAGUUGCUGGCUCCCAGUCUCCAUCCCACUGGGGAUUUUGCUCUUAAGAAGACUUUGCCAAAGCAGAAAGACAGGGACUUGGUUAUCUACAUACUCUUCACUGUAUAUGGAUUUUCUGUUGCAAACAGUUUCGACUGAUCAGAAUGUGUGCCAGUUUCAACAAUUUUGUGAAUCCAAGCUCCUCGGCUCAGAGAGUAGCUACAUUACAACCCGUGUGACGGGAACAUUUGGGUAUGUUUUUAUCUGAGUCCUGUGUGCCACUGUGGCUAAAGAGGUAACAAGAGUCUUUUUUUGUUGUUGUAGUUUUGUAGCUCCUGAAUAUGCAAGCACAGGCAUGCUGAACAAAAGAAGCGAUGCGUACAGUUUUGGGAUUCUUAUGAUGGAAAUCAUUUCUGGAAGGAACCCAAUUGAUUAUAGCCGAUCUUCGGAGGAGGAAUCCGGAAGGAGUAUUGGAUCCAAAGCUAGCUGACAAGCCCACUUCAAGGGCAUUGAAGCUGUCUCUUCUUGUGGCUUUACGUUCUGUAGACCCUAAUGCAUGGAAGCGGCCAAAAAUGGGACAAGUUAUACAUAUUCUUGAAGCUGAAGACACCCCACCCCAUUCAAAGAAAUAUGUUGACGAUUUUACUAUCUCAUGGGGCUUCUUUACCAUGACCACAUCUGGCGUAUAUUGGGAGGAAGGUCCACAACAUGGGAGAUGUUGAUCCGGACCAUUUGACCCUAAUUGAUAUUGUUUGUGCUCUUACGUAACUGGGGUAUACGGACUGUCAGAAUUGGUGACUUGUUUUCACAAGUCUUACCGUAGGCCCCACAGCAGUAUGGCAUCCCAUACUUUUGACUUAUGUUUUCUCUCUCACACGUCCACUCUGGCUUCUCCGUUCAUUGAGCUUCUUCUAGAAGCUUUGUGAAAAGGCAUUGUUGUUUUAUUAUUGAAGCCAUUCGGUCAUCAAGCAUGGAGAGGCAGCAACUUUAGCAAGAAAAAGAGAGAGAGAAGAAAAGAAAGAGUUGCCGAGAGAGAGACUUGUGUUGCAAAGAGAAGAAGAGAUACACCAUUUUUUAUUCUUUUUUAUCGCACUUUUGGAGUGCUGAAAUGCUUAGAGAAUUUUAGAGAAUAUUUUUCUCUUUUGUAUCUAAUUCUCUUUUGAGUGAGAUUGAGGUGUAUUGGGGCUUUUGGGUUGGAGUGGUUUUGUUUGUACUACUCUUUGUACUCCACUUUUUGUUAGUGAAUUUCUCAUGGA